rnacentral:rRNA from 1 species
GACGAACGCUGGCGGCGUGCUUAACACAUGCAAGUCGAACGGAAAGGCCCUGCUUGCAGGGUGCUCGAGUGGCGAACGGGUGAGUAACACGUGGGUGAUCUGCCCCUUACUUUGGGAUAAGCCUGGGAAACUGGGUCUAAUACUGGAUAGGACCAUGCUGUAGGUGGUGUGGUGGAAAGAUUAGUUUCGGUAAGGGAUGAGCUCGCGGCCUAUCAGCUUGUUGGUGGGGUAAUGGCCUACCAAGGCGUCGACGGGGAGCCGGCCUGAGAGGGUGGACGGCCACAUUGGGACUGAGAUACGGGCCAGACUCCUACGGGAGGCAGCAGUGGGGAAUAUUGCACAAUGGGAGCAAGCCUGAUGCAGCGACGCCGCGUGGGGGAUGACGGCCUUCGGGUUGUAAACUCCUUUCAGCCAUGACGAAGCCCUUGUGGUGACGGUAGUGGUAGAAGAAGCACCGGCUAACUACGUG